rnacentral:misc_RNA from 1 species
AAGUCGUAACAAGGUUUCCGUAGGUGAACCUGCGGAAGGAUCAUUAUUGAAAAACUUUGUAGGGCUGUAGUUGAGCUGGCCUCUCGGGGCAUGUGCUUGCUACUGGUCUUCAAAAUCUUCAUCCACCUGUGCACACCUUGUAGGAGGGAAAGAUUUUCAAGUAGAGGACCUUCAUUGUUGCUUGAAAGGGAGUCUUUUCUUUCCUAUGUUUUUACACACACCAUUUGUAUGUUCAGAAUGUCUUGAUUUUUGAAGAGUGUAACAGCUCUUUUAAAAACAUAAUACAA